GCACAAGCAGUGGAGUAUGUGGUUUAAUUCGAAGCAACGCGAAGAACCUUACCAGGUCUUGACAUCGGAUGCAUACCUAAGAGAUUAGGGAAGUCCUUCGGGACAUCCAGACAGGUGGUGCAUGGUUGUCGUCAGCUCGUGUCGUGAGAUGUUGGGUUAAGUCCCGCAACGAGCGCAACCCCUAUCGUUAGUUACUACGCAAGAGGACUCUAGCGAGACUGCCGUUGACAAAACGGAGGAAG
rnacentral:rRNA from 1 species